AUUGAACGCUGGCGGCAGGCCUAACACAUGCAAGUCGAGCGGAUGACGGGAGCUUGCUCCUGGAUUCAGCGGCGGACGGGUGAGUAAUGCCUAGGAAUCUGCCUGGUAGUGGGGGACAACGUUUCGAAAGGAACGCUAAUACCGCAUACGUCCUACGGGAGAAAGCAGGGGACCUUCGGGCCUUGCGCUAUCAGAUGAGCCUAGGUCGGAUUAGCUUGUUGGUGAGGUAAUGGCUCACCAAGGCGACGAUCCGUAACUGGUCUGAGAGGAUGAUCAGUCACACUGGAACUAGGACACGGUCCAGACUCCUACGGGAGGCAGCAGUGGGGAAUAUUGGACAAUGGGCGAAAGCCUGAUCCAGCCAUGCCGCGUGUGUGAAGAAGGUCUUCGGAUUGUAAAGCACUUUAAGUUGGGAGGAAGGGUUGUAGAUUAAUACUCUGCAAUUUUGACGUUACCGACAGAAUAAGCACCGGCUAACUCUGUGCCAGCCGCCGCGGUAAGAC
rnacentral:rRNA from 1 species